AUGAUUGAUCACCAACGCGCAGAGGAAAUGCAAGUUAAUAACGAGGCAUCUCCAGGGUGUCUCAAGCCAAAUAUUUCUCAGUAUAACCCUCAAGAACAUAGAGGUGGCAUUGAAGGAUUUCCUGAGAAUAAUGAAAAAAAGAAUGAUAGUAUUGCAGAAGAUAAAGUAUGGGGGGCAUCUCCUCUCCCAAAUCAAGGAUUUGGCAGACCCUUCUACCGCCAGGAAUUUUAUGCCUGGCCGCAUGUUUAUUCUGAUUACCAAAUCCUGCGGCAGCCACAACCUUAUGGAUUUGACAAUCAGUUUUAUCAGAUAAAUAGGGAUACCUGUUUCCCCAUUGAGAGAAGAGUUCAGUUCCCCUUGAAGAUGCUCCCUCAAGGUUACCCUCAUGAUGCACAACUUCAGGAAUUUCAAUAUUUUGUGGUUAUUGACUUUGAAGCAACCUGUGACAAGGAGAAUAAUCCACAUCCACAAGAGAUCAUUGAGUUUCCAUCUGUCUUGGUUAACAGUGCAACGGGACAAUUAGAAGCUUCCUUUCAAACAUAUGUUCGACCAGCAUAUCAUCAAAAUUUGACUGACUUCUGCAAGGAGCUUACCGGUAUACAACAGAUUCAGGUGGACAGAGGUGUACCUCUAAGUGAAGCCUUGCUCAUGCAUGAUAAAUGGUUAGAGGACAAAGGAAUAAAGCACAAGAACUUCGCUGUUGUGACCUGGUCCAACUGGGAUUGCCGUGUGAUGCUGGAAUCAGAAUGCAGGUUCAAGAGAAUCAGGAAGCCCCCUUAUUUCGACAGGUGGAUCAACUUGAAGGUCCCUUUCCAAGAAGUCUAUGGGGGUGUUCGGUGCAACUUGAAGGAUGCAGUUCAGUUGGCUGGUCUGACGUGGGAGGGUCGUGCCCACUGUGGGCUUGACGACGCUCGCAAUACUGCUCGCCUCCUUGCGCUGUUGAUGCACAGGGGAUUCAAGUUCUCCAUCACCAACUCGCUUGUGUGGCAGCAACCUUCCCCGCUGGCAAUAACGUGCCAGCCAUCCCCAUCCCCUGACCGUUCUCCAGACCUCACCCUGUUGCAGCAGCACAAGGCAAAGGAGAUGUUGGGACCUCAUCUCCAUGCUCACCCAUAUGCCGGCAAGGCCGCUGGACAGGUUUGCUUCUGUGGAGCGCCGAGCAGGCCGAACACUGUACGCAAACCGGGUCCGAUGCAGGGAAGGCAUUUCUAUGGAUGCGGCAACUGGACCGUCACGAGGCGGGCCAUAUGCACGUUCUUUGCAUGGGCGUCGUGA
rnacentral:rRNA from 1 species